UACGAAGGGGGCUAGCGUUGCUCGGAAUCACUGGGCGUAAAGCGCACGUAGGCGGAUUCUUAAGUCAGGGGUGAAAUCCUGGAGCUCAACUCCAGAACUGCCUUUGAUACUGGGAGUCUCGAGUCCGGGAGAGGUGAGUGGAACUGCGAGUGUAGAGGUGAAAUUCGUAGAUAUUGGGAAGAACACCGGUGGCGAAGGCGGCGACCUGGUCCGCAACUGACGCUGAGGCGCGAAAGCGUGGGGAGCAAACAGG
rnacentral:rRNA from 1 species